CCUACGGGAGGCAGCAGUGAGGAAUAUUGGUCAAUGGACGAGAGUCUGAACCAGCCAAGUAGCGUGAAGGAUGACUGCCCUAUGGGUUGUAAACUUCUUUUAUAUGGGAAUAAAACGUUCCACGUGUGGGAUUUUGUAUGUACCAUAUGAAUAAGGAUCGGCUAACUCCGUGCCAGCAGCCGCGGUAAUACGGAGGAUCCGAGCGUUAUCCGGAUUUAUUGGGUUUGAAGGGAGCGUAGGUGGAUUGUUAAGUCAGUUGUGAAAGUUUGCGGCUCAACCGUAAAAUUGCAGUGGAAACUGGCAGUCUUGAGUACAGUAGAGGUGGGCGGAAUUCGUGGUGUAGCGGUGAAAUGCUUAGAUAUCACGAAGAACUCCGAUUGCGAAGGCAGUUCACUGGACUGCAACUGACACUGAGGCUCGAAAGUGUGGGUAUCAAACAGGAUUAGAUACCCAGUC
rnacentral:rRNA from 1 species